GACGAACGCUGGCGGCGUGCCUAAUACAUGCAAGUAGAACGCUGAAGAGAGGAGCUUGCUCUUCUUGGAUGAGUUGCGAACGGGUGAGUAACGCGUAGGUAACCUGCCUUGUAGCGGGGGAUAACUAUUGGAAACGAUAGCUAAUACCGCAUAACAAUGGAUGACACAUGUCAUUUAUUUGAAAGGGGCAAUUGCUCCACUACAAAAUGGACCUGCGUUGUAUUAGCUAGUAGGUGAGGUAACGGCUCACCUAGGCGACGAUACAUAGCCGACCUGAGAGGGUGAUCGGCCACACUGGGACUGAGACACGGCCCAGACUCCUACGGGAGGCAGCAGUAGGGAAUCUUCGGCAAUGGGGGCAACCCUGACCGAGCAACGCCGCGUGAGUGAAGAAGGUUUUCGGAUCGUAAAGCUCGGUUGUAAGUCAAGAACGAGUGUGAGAGUGGAAAGUUCACACUGUGACGGUAGCUUACCAGAAAGGGACGGCUAACUACGUG
rnacentral:rRNA from 1 species